GUUUUUCUUUCACAUUGUUGAUACGAUACCAGCUUCACGCAUUGGCUGAAUUUCUUAUCUCCGGAUUAAGUAUGCUGGUCUAUAUAAUUGAUCUAAAUAACUGAUGCCACUGGUGACUUUGUUUCUGUGUAGAGGUGUUGUCGAUGGCCAACUGGCCAUUGUUAUUUAAAGUACUCGUCCCAGAUGCUCCAACGGGUUAACCGUGAUGAGCUUACUACUCGAACAUACUGGCAUGAUGGGGAACAAAACACAUUGUACGUGGGUCGCGCCAUUGUCUUCCAGUAUUAAGCUGGUCACGGAUCACGGAUUGGUGCACCGGGGCCGAAACCUGAAUUUUUAUGUACGUCAAAACGUAGAAGAUUCCAUUUGUGAUGUGUGGCAAUGGUGCAUGGUCUUCCGGUAUAUCUUUUGCAUCCAUCAGCUGAGAGCCAGACCGAUAUUCUGAGUGGUAAGGAUUUACGAGGUAUUCUCGCCAUCGUUGGGUUACUGAUAAUGAAGAUAAUCCGAAAGAAAUAUCGUGGAAGAGAGCUUUUGAGAGAUGAUUUUGAUUUUGCCUUGGUAUGUGAAUCAGUGUGGAACCAACCUGUUCAGUUUUAUCAGCUUGCUUCUCCUGGACUGUAACCCAAAGCCUGAAAGAUAGUUUAGAUUGAUCUAGUGGCAGUGGUGGGGAAAUUAAAUGUACAGUAUGUAUUGGCAAAAAAUCAAGAGAAAUCACGCAAGAGAAAAUGUUUGCCAGAAAAAAGCUAUUCAUUAGGAAAGUGAUGGAAGCUAUUACAAAACCAUUUCAUGAAAUCCAUGGAGUGCCUCUUAUUUAGCUGUGAGUGCAAAUCUACUUGACAAAGCCAAAAAUUAAUCUGAGAUCAUUAUGUUGGCUCUAAUACAUAAUGAAAAGGAACAUGGAACUGAAAAAUACCUUAUUGAAAAUGUCACUUAACAGGUAAAGAGCAGGGGAAUCCUAUUAAUUUCUGUAUGGUUCAAAAAUUGGUAGUUGCAGGAAACCUUGUCGAUUAAGUACUGGAGCAGGCUGUACAUUAAUUGAAGACGAAGAGGAAGAAGAAAAAGAACGAAUCCAUGCUGUAUAACGUGUUGAAGUGGUGGUCAGCAAAGGGAUUAAUACUGACUGUGUUUUAACCCGAUGGUGUGUUUUACGUCGACCGUUUGGAGAAGAUGGCCUUCAUCAUCGUGCCAUUUCAGUCCAAUUUUCCCAUAUGUAACUGAAUAAUUAUCUUGUCAUUGUGGAGCCGAUCAUAUGUUAGUAAGCCGAUGCCCAUAGGUUUAAUAUUUCUGCAUAAGGGAGGCAUUUAUGAAAAAAGUGGCCGUGAUGCUAUGUACGCUAGCUUUUAAUUAAGGCCAUGGAUGGUAAUUGUUUACAAAAUCCAUUUUUCCAUGUUGGUAUGAAUUUCGGUAUAGGCUUGGGACAUGUUAUUUGUUUUUUUUUUUUUGUUUUGGUUUGUUUUUUGUUUUUUGUUCUUGU
rnacentral:misc_RNA from 1 species